CUCCUCCACUUCCCUCUCCCGCACAUCUCUCUCCCAUCCUCCCCAUCCACCGCCGCCACACCAUCGCCGCCGCCUACCCUCGGCGGGCGGUCCACCCCCUCCUCCUUCUCCGCCGUGGCGCGGUGCUCCGCGGCAACCUCUCGCUGGUCUGGUCCGGCUUGAACCCCUUCGCGCUGACCCCGACCCCCCCUUCUUCCAAGCUGGCACGGCCACCAUCGACGGUGAGGGCCGCAGCAGGAGCAGGAGCACGGCGGGAAGGAGGAGAACGACAAGGGGAGGUCGAGCCGCCAUCCGUCGCCGGCCGUCGACACCUCCUGUUCGACCACACAGCGGGAGCACCGGACCGUUGUCCUUGUGUUCGUGCUCCUCCAGGAAGAAGACGACCCAAGGAGUUCUCCUCCUCAAGGUGUCAACCGUCCUCGAUCUACUGCUCCUCCUAGGUCUUCUGCGAUGGCUUCCUCGCGUGUCGGCGCUGGUUGAGAUGCUUGUGGGAUUCCCGCAGUUGAUUUGCUAGGUAUGUCUCUAUUCUAGACGCUGCUCGUCUCUGAUUUUCGUCUUCCUUUUCUUGCAUAUUCGUCCAUUUUCACCGGUGCCUCCUUCGAUCUGCCCCUCUCGCUUGUCCAUUCAUGGAUUUAUUGGUGUGUGGAAGUACAAGUACGCUAUGGCUAACUUGUUCCCUCUUUUAUUGUUGUUGUCGUGUCCUAUAUCAGGUGUUCUCCGGCUGAAAUUAGGCUGCUCCUGCCAUGUCUAUCAGUGAAAUGCCUCCUUCCAUGAUAAAGCAGCCUACUCUUAGGUACAAAUCUGGGUGUCGAUUCUGCCUCACCUUUCUAGCCGGCAGUGGUUCGGUUUGCUGCAGGUUCUCUCAGUGUUCAGGUACCUGAUUUUACCCCUCCCCCAUUUAUUUUACUUAGGUCUGAUACAUUCUAGGUAUAGUUUGUUGUCGAAAGGAUUCAGAACAGUUGUACUGGCAUAAAAAAUUGAUGGUGAUGUAUCGACACAUUCCAAGUGUAGAAUUACUUUAUUAUGCAA